rnacentral:rRNA from 1 species
AUACCUGCAGCUCGAGUGGUGAUCGUUAUUAUUGGGCCUAAAACGUCCGUAGCCGGUCUUCUAAAUGCCUGGGUAAAUCGUAUGGCUUAACCAUACGAAUUCUGGGUAGACUGUUAGACUUGAGACCGGGAGAAGCUAGAGGUACUCCUGGGGUAGGGGUGAAAUUCUGUAAUCCUAGGGGGACGACCAGUGGCGAAGGCGUCUAGCUAGAACGGGUCUGACGGUGAGGGACGAAGCCCUGGGGCGCAAACGGGAUUAGACACCCCGGUAGUCCAGGGUGUAAACGCUGCUUGCUUGAUGUUAGUCUGGCUCCGAGCCAGAUUAGUGUCGGAGAGAAGUUGUUAAGCAAGCUGCCUGGGAAGUACGGCCGCAAGACUGAAACUUAAAGGAAUUGACGGGG